rnacentral:rRNA from 1 species
UACGUAGGGGGCAAGCGUUGUCCGGAAUCAUUGGGCGUAAAGAGCGUGUAGGCGGCUCGGUAAGUCCGCUGUAAAAGUCCAGGGCUCAACCCUGGAAAGCCGGUGGAAACUGUCGAGCUAGAGUCCGGAAGAGGCGAGUGGAAUUCCUGGUGUAGCGGUGAAAUGCGUAGAGAUCGGAAAGAACACCAACGGCGAAAGCACUCUGCUGGGCCGACACUGACACUGAGAGACGAAAGCUAGGGGAGCGAAUGGG